UACAGAGACUGCAAGCGUUAUUCGGAUUCACUGGGCGUAAAGCGUGCGCAGGCGGUUUUGUAAGCCAGAUGUGAAAUCCCCGGGCUUAACCUGGGAAUGGCAUUUGGGACUGCAAGGCUUGAGUGCGGCAGAGGAGACUGGAAUUCCUGGUGUAGCAGUGAAAUGCGUAGAUAUCAGGAGGACCACCGAUGGCGAAGGCAGGUCUCUGGGCUGACACUGACGCUCAUGCACGAAAGCGUGGGGAGCAAACAGG
rnacentral:rRNA from 1 species